rnacentral:rRNA from 1 species
GACGAACGCUGGCGGCGUGCCUAAUACAUGCAAGUAGAACGCUGAAGGAGGAGCUUGCUUCUCUGGAUGAGUUGCGAACGGGUGAGCAACGCGUAGGUAACCUGCCUGGUAGCGGGGGAUAACUAUUGGAAACGAUAGCUAAUACCGCAUAAGAGUAGAUGUCGCAUGACAUUUGCUUAAAAGGUGCAAUUGCAUCACUACCAGAUGGACCUGCGUUGUAUUAGCUAGUUGGUGAGGUAACGGCUCACCAAGGCAACGAUACAUAGCCGACCUGAGAGGGGGAUCGGCCACACUGGGACUGAGACACGGCCCAGACUCCUACGGGAGGCAGCAGUAGGGAAUCUUCGGCAAUGGACGGAAGUCUGACCGAGCAACGCCGCGUGAGUGAAGAAGGGUUUCGGAUCGUAAAGCUCUGUUGUAAGAGAAGAACGAGUGUGAGAGUGGAAAGUUCACACUGUGACGGUAUCUUACCAGAAAGGGACGGCUAACUACGUG